rnacentral:rRNA from 1 species
UACGGAGGGUGCAAGCGUUGCUCGGAAUUAUUGGGCGUAAAGGGCAGGUAGGUGGUCCUAUUUGUCUGGGGUGAAAUCCCUGAGCUUAACUCAGGAAGUGCCUCAGAAACGGUAGGACUAGAGUCUUAGAGAGGUUCGUGGAAUUCCCAGUGUAGCGGUGAAAUGCGUAGAGAUUGGGAGGAACACCAGAGGCGAAGGCGGCGAACUGGAUAAGCACUGACGCUCAUGUACGAAAGCGUGGGUAGCAAACAGG